GCUGGGAUAGCUCAGUCAGUAGAGCAUGAGACUCUUAAUCUCAGGGCCAUGGGUUUGAGCCCCACAUUGGGCA